GUGCUCACUUUGGGAGAACCUAUAUUAAAACUGGAAUGAUACAGAGACGAUCAGCAUGGCCCCUGUGCAAGGGUGACAUGCAAAUUCAUGAAGCAUUCCUUUUUUAA
rnacentral:snRNA from 1 species